rnacentral:rRNA from 1 species
CAGGCAUAAUACAUCCAUAUUGAACGAGAUUAGUUUUAGCAAUAGAACUAGUUUAGUGGCUCACGGGUGCGUAACGCGUAUGCAACCUACCUUAAACAGGGGAAUAGCCUCUCGAAAGAGAGAUUAAUACCGCAUAACAUAUAUUUAGAGCAUUUUAGAUAUAUCAAACCUACGGGGGUUUAAGAUGGGCAUGCGUGACAUUAGCUAGUUGGUGAGGUAACGGCUCACCAAGGCAACGAUGUCUAGGGGGUCUGAGAGGAUGUCCCCCCACACUGGUACUGAGACACGGACCAGACUCCUACGGGAGGCAGCAGUAGGGAAUAUUGGUCAAUGGAGGCAACUCUGAACCAGCCAUGCCGCGUGCAGGACUAAGGCCCUAUGGGUCGUAAACUGCUUUUGAAUGGGAAGAAAUGUAUCUACGUGUAGAUAUUUGACGGUACCAUUAGAAUAAGGAUCGGCUAACUUCGUGCCAGCAGCCGCGGUAAUACGAAGGAUCCAAGCGUUGUCCGGAUUUACUGGGUUUAAAGGGUGCGUAGGCGGACUCAUAGGUCAGUGGUGAAAGCCUUCAGCUUAACUGAAGAACUGCCAUUGAAACUGUGAGUCUCGAGUUCGGUUGAGGUCAUUGGAAUGUAACAUGUAGCGGUGAAAUGCAUAGAUAUGCUACAGAACACCAAUUGCGAAGGCAGAUGACUAAACCGAAACUGACGCUGAGGCACGAAAGCGUGGGGAUCAAACAGGAUUAGAUACCCUGGUAGUCCACGCCCUAAACGUUGAAUACUCGACCUUAGCGAUAUACAGUUAGGGUCCAAGCGAAAGCGUUAAGUAUUCCACCUGGGAAGUACGUUCGCAAGAAUGAAACUCAAAGGAAUUGACGGGGGCCCGCACAAGCGG